AGGCCUGCUAUGGCACAACUUGCUCUGUAUUGGAAUUCAGCAAAAUGGAGGCCCAUUCGAGGAGCACUAGUCAUCAGACCGUUCGAAUUACCUUUUGAUAUUGGGUCUCUUCAAUUCAAUCUGUCAUUAAUUUCUCCUUUUCUGUACAAAAUCACUCGUUUCCCCCCAGUCCAGGCUGACCUAUGUACGUAAUUGUUUUCCAUACCUGCUAUUUUUUUUUUUCCCUUCCUUUGGCACUGUUUGCUCAUGGCUUGUCUCUGUGUUUAGAAUACUCUUCCCCACCUCUCCUUGGUCUUGAAUCACAAGAGGCAGUUCUCGAGAAUGAGAAGAUCAAAGAUUUUGAAAUUUGGAAGAAGUGGCCUUGAAUCCAAGCUCUGCCUCUUACUAGCUGUGCAAUAGUGGGAAGGGAGUGUGUCCUGCAGAGAGACGUUCCAAAGAUAAAGUAAGAAAGAUGAGGACUUCUGUUCUUGGACUGUUCCAGGACCAGUGCCGUGUGAUGGGCUUCACAUGUCUGAGCUCACUUCACCAUUAGUGUAACCUGUAAGACAGUGGUUACUCCAUCAGCCUGGAUUCCAGAGAGACAAGACAUGGAGCUAAACCUCUAGACAACAUGUACUGGACAUGCAGUGUGAGGUUAAAUAAAUAAAACAUUAUGAGGUGCCCAGAUUUUGGAAUCGUUAGCAUGCCCUAACACAUCCUGCCUGAUAUACCACCAAACAGAGAGCGAGGUGUUUCAGAAUACAUUUUCCCAGAGCUGUGUUUAUUGUUUGAGCUCCCCUUCUCUCCCCACCAAAAUUAGCUAGCCCCGGGAGGAGCAGUCUUUCCCCAGGCAGGAAGAUCCUUUUUUAAGAUGUCAAAGCAUCAUAAUAUAUAGAAAAUUAAACACACACCAUACACAGUGGAUAAACCAAUCUCAGUGCCAAGGAGGCAGGGAUGCAUAUACUUUCUGCAGGAGGCCCUGAAAAGUUACACAGUAUUAGGUAGUGGUGGGGCUGUUAAUCCAAAUGCAGAGAAAGGGAGCAAAUAUGUAGGAAUAAGAGGUCAGCUAUCACCAGAGAUACCAAUAAUUCACAAAAGCGUACAUAAGAAAGAACAGCCCAAGUUGCAAAAAAUGCAAAUUAAUAAAAGGGUAAUUUCUGGUGCAGAUGGGGAAACACUGUUUUAACUUCUCUGAUGAUAAUUUGACCUUAAAUAUUACAAGUUUUACUCCCAGGAUUUCAUCUCAGAAGUUCAGCAUAAAUUGCAAUGAAUUAAAAAAAGUUGCCACCUUCACCACAGCAUGGCUUAUAAAAGCACCACACUGGAUAGCUUUUUAAUAUCCCAUAGAAUUGUUGGGAAUUGCUGAAAUAUGUUACAGCAUCUCCAUGUAAUAAAAUAUUUUAAUGCCAUUAAAAAUUACAGUCUGAAAUUCCAUUUAUGAAAUACAUCAGUUGAAAGA